rnacentral:rRNA from 1 species
GAUGAACGCUGGCGGCGUGCCUAACACAUGCAAGUCGAGCGAAGCGCCUUACUUGAUUUCUUCGGGAUGAAAGUAUUGUGACUGAGCGGCGACGGGUGAGUAACGCGUGGAUAACCUGCCUCAUACAGGGGGAUAACAGUUAGAAAUGACUGCUAAUACCGCAUAAGACCACAGCACCGCAUGGUGCAGGGGUAAAAACUCCGGUGGUAUGAGAUGGAUCCGCGUCUGAUUAGCUAGUUGGUAAGGUAACGGCCCACCAAGGCGACGAUCAGUAGCCGACCUGAGAGGGUGAUCGGCCACAUUGGAACUGAGAAACGGUCCAA